AAUUUAAUUUUAAAUUAUUUUUUUAUUUAUUUUAAUUUAAUUUAAUUAAAUUAAUAUUAUAAUUAUUUUAAUAAAAUUAUUUAAUUAAAAAUUAUUAAAAAUUUUAUAUUUUAUGUAUUGAAAAAGUUUGAAUUUAUUUAUUUUAAGUUAAAUUAAUUUUUUUUUCCUUUUGUAUCAGGAUUAAUUAAAUAUUUAUUAUUAUAUUUAUUAAUUUCUCGAAAUUAAUUGAUCAAAAUAAAUAUAUUAUUUAAUGUUAAAUUAUUAUUAAUAAUUUUUAUUUUGUGAAAAAAUUUUUUUCAAAAUUUAUUAUAUCUAGUUAUUUUAUAAAUUAAUUUAAUUAAAUUGAAUUUAUAAUUAUUUAUUUUUAUGUAAUUUUAAUUUAUUUUUGUUAAAAAAUUAAUGGGAUAAACUAUUAAUUUGAUCAAUAUAAAUUUAUUAGUUUUUUAUAAAUUUAAAAUUAGAAUUUUUUUAAAAUUAGUUAAUUUUUAAUAAAUAAUAAAAAUUAAAAUUUAAGAUUUAUUUAAAUUAUUUGUUUUUUUAUAAAAUUAAAUAAUAAAAUUUUUUAUUUUUUGUAAUAAUGAUUAAAUUAGUAAAUUUUAAAUAAAUAUAAUUUUUUAUUUAUAAAAUUUUAAAAAAUGAAUUAGGCAAAAAUUAAUUAUUCACCUGUUUAAUAAAAACAUGGUUUUUUGAUUAUAAUUUAAAAUUAAAUCUGCUCAAUGAUUAAUAAAUAAAUAGCUGCAGUAUUUUGACUGUACAAAGGUAGCAUAAUCAUUUGUCUUUUUAAUGAAGUCUGGAAUGAAAGAUUUGAUGAAAUAGUUUCUUUAUAUUUUAAAUUUAUUAAAUUUUAUUUUAAGUUAAAAUUCUUAAAUUUUAUUAAAAGACGAGAAGACCCUAUAAAAUUUAAUAAUUUUGUUUUAUUAUAAAGAUUAAUUUUUUUAAAUAAUUUAUAAUUAUUUUAUUGGGGUUAUAAUAAAAUUUAAUAAAUUUUUAUAUUAUAUUAAAUAAUAUAUUUUUAAUUUUUAAAAAAUCCAAUAUUUAUUGAAUUUAAAUUAAAUUACUUUAGGGAUAACAGCGUAAUUUUUUUGAAAAGAUCAUAUUGAUAUAAAAGUUUGCGACCUCGAUGUUGAAUUAAGAUAAAUUUUAAAUGUAGAAAUUUAAUAAAUUUAGUCUGUUCGACUAUUAAAAUCUUACAUGAUUUGAGUUUAAAUCGGUGUGAACCAGAUUGGAUUCUAUCUUUAAUAAUUAAAUUAAUUUUGUACGAAAGGACUUUUUAAUUUUAAAAUUUAAUUUUAAUUAAGUAUAAAAUU
rnacentral:rRNA from 1 species